rnacentral:misc_RNA from 1 species
GUGAAUCAUCGAAUCUUUGAACGCAUAUUGCACUCUCUGGUAUUCCGAGGAGUAUGCCUGUUUGAGGGUCAUUAAAAAGUAUACUUAACCAAUUUUUUUUGGCCAAAGGAAAUGUGGUCUCCGCGUUUAUAGCGGUAGCUUGAAAUAAAUGGUCAAGUCUCAUUUUAGUCGAGACGAGUACUAAUAUUAUUUCGCGAAAUCUUUAUUAUGUGACUAUCAAGUUUUGAUGCAUACCAA